AGUGAACGCUGGCGGUAGGCCUAACACAUGCAAGUCGAACGGCAGCACAGUAAGAGCUUGCUCUUACGGGUGGCGAGUGGCGGACGGGUGAGGAAUACAUCGGAAUCUACUUUUUCGUGGGGGAUAACGUAGGGAAACGUACGCUAAUACCGCAUACGACCUACGGGUGAAAGCAGGGGAUCUUCGGACCUUGCGCGAUUGAAUGAGCCGAUGUCGGAUUAGCUAGUUGGCGGGGUAAAGGCCCACCAAGGCGACGAUCCGUAUCUGGUCUGAGGGGAUCAUCAGCCAGACUGGAACUGAGGCACAGUACAGACACCUGGGGUAGGCAGCAGUGGGGAAUAUUAGGCAAUGGGGGCAUGCCUGAUCCAGCCAUACCGCGUGGAUGAAGAACGCCUUCGGGUUGUAAAGCCCUUUUGUUGGGAAAGAAAAGCAGCAGGUUAAUACCCCGCUAUUCUGACGGUACCCGAAGAAUAAGCUCCGGCUAACUUCGUG
rnacentral:rRNA from 1 species